GUGACAGCCGCCGCGGUAAGACAGAGGGUGCAAACGUUGCUCGGAAUUACUGGGCGUAAAGCGCGUGUAGGCGGAUCGGAAAGUCGGGCGUGAAAGCCCCAGGCUCAACCUGGGAACUGCACUCGAAACUCCCGGUCUUGAGUGGUGGAGAGGGAAGUGGAAUUCCUGGUGUAGAGGUGAAAUUCGUAGAUAUCAGGAGGAACACCAGUGGCGAAGGCGGCUUCCUGGACACCAACUGACGCUGAGACGCGAAAGCGUGGGGAGCAAACAGGAUUAGAAACCCGGGUAGUCC
rnacentral:rRNA from 1 species